UCCAUUUAUACCCCAUAUCUAGGCCCACCACAUUGAGUCCAACAAAUACGUUCUUACAGAAUCUUAUCACGUCUCGGACUCGUUUGGUUGCUUUGUUUCAUCUAAGUAAGGUUUGGUAACUUAGUGAAGCUAGGUGUUUGGCUGUCAAAUUGCAGCUUUGUAAAGCCCGUAUUUCAGAACUGAGGCCCGCACUGUUCAUCAAAUUUUACCUAGUUUCGAAUCUACCUCAACACCCUCAGAUUGAGUUAGAUGGCCUCGAUUUGUGUGUCAGCUUAUACAAUUAAUUCCUUUUCCCCCUUGCACAUCUUAUCUCUUCCGCCUUUUCUCCCAAAUUUCAGCUCAGGAAACUUAGUGCAGUAGCUUUCAAAGAUCUUGAACUCACGGUCUAAAAAUUCAGCGGUUCAAGGACGAAGCUAUAGCAUUGGCGCGAGCAGUGGUUCACUCUGUUGGGCAUAAUCGACGCGAGGCAAUGUCGACAUCAACUGAAAAUGGUGAACUAAUACCAGAAUGAACUUGUGGGCGUGGGAAAAUGAGGUUAUUAUGUGCAGGGAAAGAGGCAAAACACAGUGGCCGAUUUUUUUACAAAUAUCCGGCAGACAUGAAGCAUUCUGGAUCCUUUUUGUGGUGUGAUGACUUCCAUAGCCAAAAAGAUGGGGGGCGUAUACCAGAUUUUGUCUUGAAUCAGGGGUAUCGUCCAGAGAAAAAUGUUAGCAACAUGGUGACUUCCAAAAAUACAAGUGUGACUCCAAGUGAAGUAGGUUGUAGAUCAGGCGGUCAUUGUCGGGCCAAGGCAAAGAUGAACAUGGUUUUAGCUUUCAUUGGAGUAAUGCUGUUUAUUCUUGGGGUUAUUGUUGAGAACUUGCUUUAGGUUGUUGUCUCGAUAGGUUGUUGGCUCGCCUAGAGCAUUACCGAAGAACCUAUCUAUCUAUGUAUUUGCUGUCAGAUAGGUCUCUUUUGUAAACACUUUUGUAGUUAUGUGUCGGAUUUGAUGUUAUUGACCCAUUUUGGUUAGUUGUAUUUGUAUGUUUUUCUUGAAA